rnacentral:rRNA from 1 species
UACGGAAUAUUGGUCAAUGGACGGAAGUCUGAACCAGCCAUGCCGCGUGCAGGAAGACGGCCUUCUGGGUUGUAAACUGCUUUUAUCAGGGAAGAAUAAGCUACUUGCGAGUAGUGAUGCCGGUACCUGAAGAAUAAGCACCGGCUAACUCCGUG